CGGGGUGAGUACAACAUAGGAAACCUGCCUUAGGGUGGGGGACAACAGAGGGAAACUUCUGCUAAUACCCCAUAUGAGCUUGGUUGAAAUACCAAUCUUGAAAGUUCCGGCGCCCUAAGAUGAGCCUGUGCCUGAUUAGCUAGUUGGUGGUGUAAUGGACUACCAAGGCGACGAUCAGUAGCUGGUUUGAGAGGAUGAUCAGCCACAAUGGGACUGAGACACGGCCCAUACUCCUACGGAAGGCAGCAG
rnacentral:rRNA from 1 species